UACGUAGGGUGCAAGCGUUGUCCGGAAUUAUUGGGCGUAAAGGGCUCGUAGGCGGUCCAUCGCGUCGGGGAGUGAAAAGCUGGGGCUUAACCCCAGUCCUGCUUCCGAUACGGGUGGACUAGAGGUAGGCAGGGGAGAACGGAAUUCCUGGUGUAGCGGUGAAAUGCGCAGAUAUCAGGAGGAACACCGGUGGCGAAGGCGGAUCUCUGGGCCAUAACUGACGCUGAGGAGCGAAAGCAUGGGGAGCGAACAGG
rnacentral:rRNA from 1 species